rnacentral:lncRNA from 1 species
UAAAAUUGUGACUACAUAAGCAUAUUUAAGAGUGCGAGCGAAUCAUAGGACGAAAAUAAAAAUUAAAAAAAAAGCGAAAGGUGUAUUCUUUAUGAGAAAAAAUAUACAUAUAUCUACAUAUGUUAGAUCUAUGAAUAAUAAAUAUUCACUAAAAAUAUAUAUACUAUUAUAUUUAUUCAGCUAAUACUGAAAAAGGGCUAGAAUAUUCUAAACACUGUCAAAAAAAAAAAAAAAAAAAAAAAUAAAAAAAACAAAUGAAUAACAGUCUCCCAACAUAAAAAAAUACAGCAUAACGCUCUCUUUUUCUUAUAAACACAGUUUUGUAAAAUUGUAAGUUUUUUAUAAGAACAAGUAUACAUACGUGCGUCCAUAUAUAUAUAUAUAUAUUGUAAAAAAGUAUGCCAAAAAAUUGUUUUAUUAACUGAACAAUUAACAAUUUUAUGCUUUUUUAAUACUAACUUAUUUUUAAUUUAAGUUUUUGUGUGUUUUUUACACGAAGUUAUAAAAAUAUAUCAUAAAUAACAAACAGAACUGAAGCACCUGCAUUUACUGAAGUAGUAAAAAUAGUUAAACAUAAAAAGAAAAAUAUAAACAAAAGAAAAAAAAAAAAAAUGAAUAUACAGAAGGCUAAAGAGAAUUCCAAACUAAUAGAACUUUCAAAGCAAAACUUAGAAAAUCAAACGAAAAAGGAACUGGAAAUCAAACAAAAACAACAAGAAAUAUUAGAACAAAGAAGAGUUAUUUUGAAAUCCUUACUAACACCAGAUGCCCACGCUAGAUUAUCUAGGAUAAGUAUUGUCAAAGAAGAAAAUGCGAGGCAAAUAGAAGACAUAAUUAUUAGGAAUAGCCAAAUGGGGUUAUUACAUAGAAAAAUAGAUGAAGACCAAUUAAUUAGAAUCAUAGAGCAAGUAGGUGAAAAAAUGUAUAAAAAGGAACCUGUAAUCGAAGUAAGUUCUUAAAUACGUAACGACAGCACGUAUACAUAUACAUUGUGAACAUAAAUAGAAUAGUUAAAAUUAUUUUAAAUACGCUCAUAGCGCCCAUAGUUGUAUCCGUUUUAAAUAAUGCACUAGAUUACAUAUAUAUAUUUCGCACAUGGUUUCCUACUUGUUUUACUUUUCUAUUAAUUUAUUCUUUAGAUUAGAAGAAGAAAACAAUUUGACGAUGAUGAUGACUUUAAUGAAGAAGACUAUAUGUAAAAAUGUGAACAUUUAUAAACAUAUAUAAAAAUAUAUAUAAAAAUUAGAAGUCAUUAAAAUUAACUAAAAGAGGAUAUAUAAAAAAAGAAAAUAAAUAUAUUAAAACUAGUUAUAAAUUUAUAACU